rnacentral:lncRNA from 1 species
UUGGUCGGUCUUUGGAUUAUCAGCACAAUAGGUCUACCCUGCGUCAUGGUUCGAUUUUUGUUCGAGUUUGAUUAGGAUAUCGAUCUCGACACGGACCGACCUCUCCGGGUUCGAGGUUAGUUCGUCCUCUUUUCGGGAUCUUACUUCGAUACAUCAUCUUUCGAACCAUACCAGUCAUGCCAAGGCUGAAAUCUAUUUCGACCGUACACAACUCUAUAUGCGUAUGCCGAGAGAAAAUUGAAGAGUUUAAUUUUAUAAAGCAAUUAAAUGAACUGAAUAUUACAAAUUUUGCAUAUUUCAUCACUUGCUUGCUUGGCUGCCUCCCAACUAAAAUGUGAGAACCUAGAAAACAUUUGGUUUAGUUGAAGAAAAAUAAACGAGUUUGAGAAGUUUGGGUUAUGAGAUAUAUGUAACUGAUUAAACGAGCAGCGAAAAAGAAUUAGAUAGAUGGAAGCUUAUUACACUAGCAAAGGAGAAAAAAAAAGUCAGGUUACACUUAAUUACUGAGCGAGAGUGAAAUGUAUUAAACAUUAAAAUAAAAAUAAAUCACCACAUUAUGAAUGAUAUAAUAUAAUUAUACAAAAUUUAUUUUUAUAAAUAGUAAUAUUAAUUUUGUGGCCUUAAGUUUUUGGGGACUUAGAGCAAGUGCUUUACUUGUUUUAGGCUAGAGCCGGCACUGAAAUCUCCCGGGAGUUUUUUCUUGGUAAAAGGGAUAAUUUUGUUAAUAAAUUACCACACACUAUUUUGUAGCUUAAAUAUUCUAGAAUACAUAGUUCCUGAACAAUCAUUUUCAAAAGAAGAAGUUACAAAAGAUGGAGGCAAGUCGACCUAAGUCAUUAAACUUUCAAAAAAAACUUGCAAAUCACUUCCAAGUUUUGGCUAAGUCAUUUGCCACCUUAUUUCGUAUCCUAUAGAUAUGCUUCAACUUUGGACUUUCCCUCCUAAGCAAUUAACAAGUUGCAAUUAUCCCAACAUGUGAGUGAAAAUUGUUAGUGCUAAUUAAUGAUCAUAAUUCAUAGCGGAGAAUUACAAAAGGAUUAAGUCAAAGAAUUAAUAAUAUAUCUGGGAAGUACAAAAGGAUGUAGAGAGGAGGGGGAAGCAGUGCUAAAAAGAGAAGCUCUUUUUUCUCUUUAAUUCUUUUCUUAUUCUUACCCUUCACUUCUAGAGUAAUAAGCAGAGAAAUCGUAAGCAUUUACUCUCGCUAAGACGCUAACAACAUCAAAUUGUUUGGAUAAAAAAAGAUAGCUUUAGAGUGAUUCUUUCCUUUAACUAGUUUAUAACUUACCACCUUUGUCUAAGGGAAGGAACUGGAAAAUAGCCACGUUUAAUCCCUGCUAUUAGAAUUUAGCCAGUAUUUAAAAAAUUAUUACUCUCUCUUUUUUAAUUUAGAUGACACAUUUUUCUUAUUAGUCCGUUAAAAAAAGAAUGACACAUUUCUACAAUUGAAAAUAAUUCAACUUUAAAUUCUUUAUUUUACCCAUUUUACCCUUAAUGAGAAGUUUUUAUAGCCCCACAAAUGUUAUGGCCCCACAAAACUUUUAUCCCUUAAACUUUUAAGAUCACAAGUUUCAAAAGUCUUCUUUUUUAUUUCUUAAACUCCGUGUCGAAUCAAACUACCUCGUUUAAAUUAAAAUGGAGGGAAUAGCAUUUAGUCACUUCUUCCGCACCAAAAAAUAUUUGGACAAAGACAUCCAAUUAAACACUAAAACACUGGAAUUCGAAGCUUAGACCAGUGAAAUUCCAUCACAUUGUACAAGUUCAAAAAUUCCCUCAAAAAAUCUAGCAGCGUGUACUGAAAUUCAGACCUUUUAAAGGUAAAAUUCCAGUAUAUUGUAUUGGAGUUUAAUUCUUACGGUGUAAAAUCCUGGACCUCGCUUCUCCCUCAUUUGUACAAAUACACAAUACAAACUAACAACUUCUCCCGUUCUCUGUCACAUCCCCAAGCCACCAAAUCUAUUCCAUUGUAGGAAACAAAUUUGAUAUAGUCACAAUUAGACUGGUGAAUUAACCAACAAAAUGGAACAUUUUGCAACACGUACAAAGUGCCCUAAAUCUUGAUACUGGUGAAGAAUGGAUUUUCCAGAGGCUGGAGACUUCACGUGAUGCAUAUUUCAUAUCUGGAGGUCUUUCAAUAUUUUGCUAACUAUCAAGCAGAAUUUAUGAAUGCAAUAACCGGAGACUCAAGUGGAUUUGCAUUGGACAUAUGCCAAAAUGGUUCUGUGAACUGUCGUCCUUGUGGGGUCAGCCUCAAUAAAUAAAAGAGAAACAAAAAUAACUAAAGAAAAUAUGUGAUUGGUGGAAAAGAAAGCAAUGGUAGGUGGCAGAACAAUUAGUUUUGGUAUUACAAUGUUAUUUGGUUGGAUUUGCAGUUGGGCGGUGAAAGAAUUUGCAAGAUAUGUAAAUUGUCAAAUUUGUUGAAAUUGUCAGAUACCAAUCAAUUUUGAUUGGUUAAACUAUCGGCUCUUCUUGUUAUAAAUAGAGGCCCUCGUUCCUCAUUUCAAACACACCAAAAUAAGAGAGAAACAAUAGAAAUUAGAGAGAGUAAUCCACAGAUUGUAGUCUAUGAGAUAAAUAGUGAGUUGAGUAAUAUUGUAGUCAUGAGGUGUUUAAAAUAAAGAGUGUUAUUUCUUUCGAAGUUGUAGUAGUCUCCUGACACUACUAAGUUCUAAUAUUAUAGUUGUAAUAUUGCUCCGCUCGGGUAUUGUAUUUUACCUCGUUAAAAGAGUUGGUGUCGUUGUUACUCUCUUGUGUUAUUAUUACUUGCCGUGGAUAUUACUCCUGGUAGGGAUAUUAUUUUUCUCCCACAACGUGGUAUCAGAGCGAUGGCAAAUAAUGGUCCGAUGUCUUUUCAGUACCCCCGUCUCACAAAAGAUAAAUAUGAGAAAUGGUGUCUACGUAUGAAAGCCAUUUUUGGCUCCCAAGAUGUGUGAAAAAUCGUAGAUAGAGGAUAUGCAAAACUGGAUAAUGAGGAAACUCUGCCUCAAAAUGAAAAAAGAUAUCUUGGAAAAGACAAGGAAGAAGGAUCAACAAGCCCUCACGCUCAUUCACCAAUGUUUGGAUAACGCCAUAUUUGAGAAGGUGGCAGAUGUUACCACCUCAAAGGAAGUUUGGGAGAUUUUACAAAAUUCUCUUCAAAGAGUUGACAAGAUGAGGAAGGUAAAACUUCAAACUAUGAAAGAAUCUGAAUGCAUUUCGGAUUAUUGUUCAAAAGUGAAGGUUGUUGCAAAUCAAUUAAUAAGAUACUGGAGGAUACAGAAGAUGUCUGUGUGGUAGAAAAGAUCCUUCGCACUUUAACACCUAAAUUUGAUUUUGUGGUGUCUGCUAUUGAGGAGUCUAAAGAUUUAGACUCUAUGAUGGUGAAACAAUCGAAGGGUUCUUUAUAGGCCCACGAAGAAAAGAUCAAAAGGAGACAAAAAAUAUCAUUGGAGCAACUUCUUAAAACUCAAGCAUCCUUUAAGGGGUAUGAAGGUGAAAAGAGCUAUCGAGGGAAUGGACGAGGAUGAGGCCGUGGCGGUCAUGGAAGAGAAAGAAGUAACGGUAACAACAUCAACAAUCAAGUUAAAAUCCACCAAAUAUUCAGAGGUCGUGGUCAUUGUCACACCUUUUUUUCCCGAUGGAUAGGGAGUUUUUUCAAUUAAAGUGACAUAAUUCGAAAUUGAAUUAUUUAUGUAUUCAGAGUCGCCACUUGGAAUAAUUAUGAUGGUGUCCCAAGUCACCGGUUCAUUUUAAAUCUCAAAUCAAAAAAAUUUGACUCUAUUUUACGGUUCGUGAACACAGAAGAUCGGGUAAGGAAUUCUGUUAACCUGGGAGAAGGUGUGAGGCACUCCUGAGUUCCGUGGUUUUAGCACGGUUGCUUAACUAUUAAUAAUUGGCCUAAUCAUCUGAUUUAUUACAUAUUUAAAACCUAUUGUACAUAUUUACUCUUUCACCGCUUUUAAUAUUUAUGAAAUUUGUUUGAACAAGUCACGUUGUUGCGCACCCAUUUAUUUUUGUACACAUUGCGAAUCGCGCCAUGUGAAACGCACCCGCGAUUCACAACAUGUUAAUUUUUAUUAUUAUUUGAAGUUGAGAUCAAGUCGCGUGAAACGCGCACUUGAAUGGGAAUUUAUGUAUCGUGACCAUGCCACGAGAACCGUACCUAUAGUCAUGAUGAUUUAUUAUUAAUCGCACCUAAAGCAAGCUACGAUGUUUGAUAAUUGAUUAAUUUUUUAAGGUUUGAGAUGAUUGUAAGGCAAGAAAAGAUGGGCCAGCUAUAUUAUUUAUUACUCUGGGCCUGGCAAGACUAAAUCUUUUUGGCCUAGUUCUGUUAGAAGAAAGAUCCAAACUCUAUUCUGAUUCUAGUCGACCAAAUGGCCCAAUUGAAUUAUCCUAGCGCACCCUACGUUCCAAAUUCAUUCGCAGUAAUUCACAUUAAAUUUGCCAUUCUUAACAUACUGACUCAGGCUAAAAUGGUACAAAUAUAAUAGCAUGUUUCUCAUAAAACACAAAACUUCAUUCACUUAAGCCUUUGAGUUCACAAACAGAAUACCAAACUUAUGCAUUAUGAAGGAUUAAGAUUCAAGUCAUAUUUCUUCUUCUCAAGAAUUAGCAAAUAAAACAAACAUCCAACACACAUUCUUAGAGAUGUAAACAAACAAAGCAGUUGGAAACUUUUAGCUAGGCCAAUCACAGUAAAAUAUAACUAAAACAAUAAUAUAAAGAGAAAAAUGACCUUUGUAUAGAUGAAAACUUCUUCAGUUACAUGAGCAAAGAAAAUUGCUGAAUUCUUGCACCAAAGGAACCACAAAUCGAAACCCGCUUCGGAAGCCUCGAACUUGACUCCAAAAAGAACUCAACUAAAUAUGGGUGGUCUUACCCAGUUGAAACGAAGCUCUGCUUAUCGAUAAAUAUGGUACAAUGGGGACUAUUUUUGGGGUGGUUUGGUGCUGUGUUCCAGCUAGUUUUGGGUGGCUGUUUCAGCUGGUUUUCUGGUCGAUUUUCAUGGCUUUUCGGGGCUGUUUUUGGCGGUUAUCGGCAGCUGAUGUGCGACUGUUUUUGGCUGCAUUUUUGGCUGAAUUUUAGAUGUGAACAACGGUUUUUAUGGUGAAGCUAAGUGAGGAAGAUGAAGUAUUCUUGUAUAAAAAAACUGUAAAGAAGAAGGAAGCUGCUAGGUUUUUGUUUGGCCUCCAGCUCCCCCUUUUCAUUUCUGUGUUUGUGUUAUAUAGUUGAGAGAGUGACAAAGAUGAGAGAAUCCAUUAAGAGUGAAUCGAAAGAAUUAUUUUCAGAGAGAAAUCGGUCCCCUUCCUAAAGUGUGUGUAUCCCUCUUUAUGGUAGGAGAAAGGGACUUAGGGUUAAGGGAUUGGGCUAGGAGAAAAUCGGCUUUUGGC